UACGAAGGGUGCUAGCGUUGUUCGGAAUUACUGGGCGUAAAGCGCUCGCAGGUGGUUCGUCGCGUCGUGCGUGAAAGACCCCGGCUCAACUGGGGGGUGUCGUGCGAUACGGGCGGACUGGAGGCCAGUAGGGGGAUGCGGAAUUCCGGGUGUAGUGGUGGAAUGCGUAGAGAUCUGGAGGAACACCAGCGGCGAAGGCGGCAUCCUGGACUGGUCCUGACACUCAGGAGCGAAAGCGUGGGGAGCGAUCCGG
rnacentral:rRNA from 1 species